CUUGAUCUAAUGGAUGUCUUUGUAUUUCUCUGAUCUAGAUGCUGGUGUCACAAAACAAGCGAGGACUGAAUCAUUGAUGAAGGAAAAGUCUGAUUCCAGAGGAAACAGAGAGAAUAAAUCAGUGACUGUAGAGAUGGAGAAGGAUCGGCUGUUGAAUGGAGAGGAUCCUGAUUUACAGAAUGAGGAGGAGGGGACGAGUUCACUUUAAGAACAUAAGACCCGCCCACCAGUGUCAAUCACUCUGACAUCAUCAACAUUCAGCUCCAGCUUCAACAACACAAACAUUUUUAAUGUGAAAGAUGCUAUUUGUUAUUACUCUGACUCUCAACAAAUCUAAAGAAUAUGUUUUCAUCUUUUUAAGUUUGGCAAUUUUUUUAUCCAUAAACAAAUAAUUAUGGGCUCAAUUCCUGCUCUCACAUUUUCUGAUUGAGGUUGACUCAGUGCUCAUCUUUUUGUUUGACUGGCAAUACAAAAUGUGUCAGUUUUUUUAAAACUAUAUGAAAAAUAUAUUUCUAUUGACUCUGAUUAAGUUCAGACAAAUCUUUAAUUGCUAUUUUAUUUUUUUUUAUUAUAUUUUUCCCCUUAUUGUAAUCUACUUACCGUUUUAUUGUUUUAAUUUUCCUUAAAUGUAUACAGUUAUUCUUAUCUUCUUUUAAUAAAAAAAGCAUUGUUAUGUUUUAUGAGCCUCUAGAAUCCGUCCAGUGAAAGUGAGAAAUGUUAAACUCGCAUGUAAAAUGUUUCUUUGUCAUUUUAAAGUUACACUUCAUACCUGUUACUUUAUUAACAUAAUACAGUUUUGAUUUUGUGUGAUUGUAAACAGAGAGUGUCAUGUGCUUUGUAGAAAAUGUUUUACCAAAGCAGUGCUUCUCUAACCAUUGUAUUCUCUGUUUUUAUAUCAUUUAUAUCAACAGCAGUACCAGAUUUAGGAUGUUCAGUAUUGAUCAAAGCUCUGUAUUCAAGCUUAAGCAUUUGAAAUUAGCUUUAUUGCACUUGUAGCAAAAAAAAAAAAAAAAAAUUCAGUGCUAGUAGUUAUACCACGUAUUUUGCUUUGUGUUGUUUUAUUAAAUUAGACAACAGCAUGUGCUUGAUGAAUAAUGUUAAUGCGAUAGAUAUUGAUAUAUCUCUGAUCUUAAUGUCUGAUCAUGUCUGUCCUUUGGUGGACAAACACUGAUACAGCUUUUGCUUCCUAUCAGCUGUCUUUGAAUGCAACACAUUAACAGUGUGCCUAAAUUUACAUUUGUGUGUACUAAAAAAUAAUAAAAAACAAAUUGUGUGUGAAA